GAUGAACGCUGGCGGCGUGCCUAAUACAUGCAAGUCGAGCGAACGGACGAGAAGCUUGCUUCUCUGAUGUUAGCGGCGGACGGGUGAGUAACACGUGGAUAACCUACCUAUAAGACUGGGAUAACUUCGGGAAACCGGAGCUAAUACCGGAUAAUAUUUUGAACCGCAUGGUUCAAAAGUGAAAGACGGUCUUGCUGUCACUUAUAGAUGGAUCCGCGCUGCAUUAGCUAGUUGGUAAGGUAACGGCUUACCAAGGCAACGAUGCAUAGCCGACCUGAGAGGGUGAUCGGCCACACUGGAACUGAGACACGGUCCAGACUCCUACGGGAGGCAGCAGUAGGGAAUCUUCCGCAAUGGGCGAAAGCCUGACGGAAGCACGCCGCGUGAGUGAUGAAGGUCUUCGGAUCGUAAAACUCUGUUAUUAGGGAAGAACAUAUGUGUAAGUAACUGUGCACAUCUUGACGGUACCUAAUCAGAAAGCCACGGCUAACUACGUGCCAGCAGCCGCGGUAAUACGUAGGUGGCAAGCGUUAUCCGGAAUUAUUGGGCGUAAAGCGCGCGUAGGCGGUUUUUUAAGUCUGAUGUGAAAGCCCACGGCUCAACCGUGGAGGGUCAUUGGAAACUGGAAAACUUGGGUGCAGAAGAGGAAAGUGGAAUUCCAUGUGUAGCGGUGAAAUGCGCAGAGAUAUGGAGGAACACCAGUGGCGAAGGCGACUUUCUGGUCUGUAACUGACGCUGAUGUGCGAAAGCGUGGGGAUCAAACAGGAUUAGAUACCCUGGUAGUCCACGCCGUAAACGAUGAGUGCUAAGUGUUAGGGGGUUUCCGCCCCUUAGUGCUGCAGCUAACGCAUUAAGCACUCCGCCUGGGGAGUACGACCGCAAGGUUGAAACUCAAAGGAAUUGACGGGGACCCGCACAAGCGGUGGAGCAUGUGGUUUAAUUCGAAGCAACGCGAAGAACCUUACCAAAUCUUGACAUCCUUUGACAACUCUAGAGAUAGAGCCUUCCCCUUCGGGGGACAAAGUGACAGGUGGUGCAUGGUUGUCGUCAGCUCGUGUCGUGAGAUGUUGGGUUAAGUCCCGCAACGAGCGCAACCCUUAAGCUUAGUUGCCAUCAUUAAGUUGGGCACUCUAAGUUGACUGCCGGUGACAAACCGGAGGAAGGUGGGGAUGACGUCAAAUCAUCAUGCCCCUUAUGAUUUGGGCUACACACGUGCUACAAUGGACAAUACAAAGGGCAGCGAAACCGCGAGGUCAAGCAAAUCCCAUAAAGUUGUUCUCAGUUCGGAUUGUAGUCUGCAACUCGACUACAUGAAGCUGGAAUCGCUAGUAAUCGUAGAUCAGCAUGCUACGGUGAAUACGUUCCCGGGUCU
rnacentral:rRNA from 1 species